rnacentral:rRNA from 1 species
GUAGGUGGCAAGCGUUGUCCGGAAUUAUUGGGCGUAAAGCGCGCGCAGGCGGUUCUUUAAGUCUGAUGUGAAAGCCCACGGCUCAACCGUGGAGGGUCAUUGGAAACUGGAGAACUUGAGUACAGAAGAGGAAAGCGGAAUUCCACGUGUAGCGGUGAAAUGCGUAGAGAUGUGGUGGAACACCAGUGGCGAAGGCGGCUUUCUGGUCUGUAACUGACGCUGAGGCGCGAAAGCGUGGGGAGCAAACAGGAUUAGAUACCCUGGUAGUCCACGCCGUAAACGAUGAGUGCUAAGUGUUAGGGGGGUUUUCCGCCCCCCUUAGUGCUGCAGCUAACGCAUUAAGCACUCCGCCUGGGAGUACGGCCGCAAGGCUG